CGGGUGCGUAACGCGUAUACAAUCUACCUUUUACAGGGGGAUAGCCCAGAGAAAUUUGGAUUAAUACCCCAUGGCAUAUGUUUGUGGCAUCACGGGCAUAUUAAAGAUUCAUCGGUAAGAGAUGAGUAUGCGUUCUAUUAGCUAGUAGGUGCGGUAAUGGCGCACCUAGGCUACGAUAGAUAGGGGCCCUGAGAGGGGGAUCCCCCACACUGGUACUGAGACACGGACCAG
rnacentral:rRNA from 1 species